GCUCGGAUGGCGGAAUUGGCAGACGCGCUAGACUUAGGAUCUAGUACCGAAAGGUGUGUGGGUUCGACCCCCUCUCCGAGCACCA
rnacentral:tRNA from 1 species